rnacentral:tRNA from 33 species
AGAAAAGUAAGCUAAAUUAAGCUAAUGGGUUCAUACCCCAUAUAUAGAGUAUAACACUCUCUUCUCUA